rnacentral:rRNA from 1 species
GACGAACGCUGGCGGCGUGCCUAAUACAUGCAAGUCGAGCGGACGGAUGGGAGCUUGCUCCCAGACCGUCAGCGGCGGACGGGUGAGUAACACGUGGGCAACCUGCCUGUAAGACUGGGAUAACUCCGGGAAACCGGGGCUAAUAUCGGAUAACUCUUUCCCUCACAUGAGGGAAAGCUGAAAGAUGGCAUCUCGCUAUCACUUACAGAUGGGCCCGCGGCGCAUUAGCUAGUUGGUGAGGUAACGGCUCACCAAGGCGACGAUGCGUAGCCGACCUGAGAGGGUGAUCGGCCACACUGGGACUGAGACACGGCCCAGACUCCUACGGGAGGCAGCAGUAGGGAAUCUUCCGCAAUGGACGAAAGUCUGACGGAGCAACGCCGCGUGAGUGAUGAAGGUUUUCGGAUCGUAAAACUCUGUUGUCAGGGAAGAACAAGUACCGGAGUAACUGCCGGUACCUUGACGGUACCUGACCAGAAAGCCACGGCUAACUACGUG